rnacentral:tRNA from 1 species
GUCGUUGUAGUAUUUCCGCCUGUCACGCGGACGACCCGGGUUCGAUCCCCGGCAACGGCG